rnacentral:rRNA from 1 species
AUGAGUCAUCAUGAUGGCAUCAACACCCCCGAUGACAAUUUCUACCUUGGAUAUGCUGGCUAUGCAUGUCAACCAGGUGUUCUUCCACCCUUCAGGGAAAACAGGCACCAUCUGAACGAGUUUGAUGGUAGGAAUUAUCCUAGGACUCCUCAACUAUUCAAUCUCAGACACUCUAGCUUAAGAGUGACUGUCGAGAGGACCUUUGGAGCUCUAAAUAACAGGUUUAAGAUCCUGGAUCAGAAGCCAUUCCACCCUUACCCUACCCACGUGAAGCUUGUUCUUGCAUGUUGCAUCAUUCAUAACUGGAUCCUGCAAUGGGGGGUCGAUGAAUUUGUGCUGGAGGAGGAAGAUGUCACUCCUGAUGAGGUGAUCAGCUCCAGCCAUGGUGUGAAGGCUUUCGACAACGAAGCAUGGAAGAACAAAAGGUUGGAGUGGGCUCAUGCAAUGUGGGAUAAAAUAGGUUAG